AGAUUGAACGCUGGCGGCAGGCCUAACACAUGCAAGUCGAGCGGCAGCACGGGUACUUGUACCUGGUGGCGAGCGGCGGACGGGUGAGUAAUGCCUAGGAAUCUGCCUGGUAGUGGGGGAUAACGCUCGGAAACGGACGCUAAUACCGCAUACGUCCUACGGGAGAAAGCAGGGGACCUUCGGGCCUUGCGCUAUCAGAUGAGCCUAGGUCGGAUUAGCUAGUUGGUGAGGUAAUGGCUCACCAAGGCGACGAUCCGUAACUGGUCUGAGAGGAUGAUCAGUCACACUGGAACUGAGACACGGUCCAGACUCCUACGGGAGGCAGCAGUGGGGAAUAUUGGACAAUGGGCGAAAGCCUGAUCCAGCCGUGCCGCGUGUGUGAAGAAGGUCGUUCGGAUUGUAAACUGCUUUUGACGGAACGAAACGGUCUGUCUUUAAUACAGUGGCUAAUGACGGUACCGUAAGAAUAAGCACCGCUAACUACGUGCCAGCAG
rnacentral:rRNA from 1 species